rnacentral:rRNA from 1 species
ACACUAGACGCAUGUCUAGAGUUUGAAAGAUGGUUCUGCUAUCAUUCUUGGAUGGACCUGCGGUGCAUUAGCUAGUUGGUAAGGUAACGGCUUACCAAGGCAAUGAUGCAUAGCCGAGUUGAGAGACUGAUCGGCCACAUUGGGACUGAGACACGGCCCAAACUCCUACGGGAGGCAGCAGUAGGGAAUCUUCCACAAUGGACGAAAGUCUGAUGGAGCAACGCCGCGUGAGUGAAGAAGGGUUUCGGCUCGUAAAGCUCUGUUGGUAGUGAAGAAAGAUAGAGGUAGUAACUGGCCUUUAUUUGACGGUAAUUACUUAGAAAGUCACGGCUAACUACGUGCCAGCAGCCGCGGUAAUACGUAGGUGGCAAGCGUUGUCCGGAUUUAUUGGGCGUAAAGCGAGUGCAGGCGGUUCAAUAAGUCUGAUGUGAAAGCCUUCGGCUCAACCGGAGAAUUGCAUCAGAAACUGUUGAACUUGAGUGCAGAAGAGGAGAGUGGAACUCCAUGUGUAGCGGUGGAAUGCGUAGAUAUAUGGAAGAACACCAGUGGCGAAGGCGGCUCUCUGGUCUGCAACUGACGCUGAGGCUCGAAAGCAUGGGUAGCGAACAGGAUUAGAUACCCUGGUAGUCCAUGCCGUAAACGAUGAGUGCUAAGUGUUGGGAGGUUUCCGCCUCUCAGUGCUGCAGCUAACGCAUUAAGCACUCCGCCUGGGGAGUACGACCGCAAGGUUGAAACUCAAAGGAAUUGACGGGGGCCCGCACAAGCGGUGGAGCAUGUGGUUUAAUUCGAAGCAACGCGAAGAACCUUACCAGGUCUUGACAUCCAGUGCAAACCUAAGAGAUUAGGUGUUCCCUUCGGGGACGCUGAGACAGGUGGUGCAUGGCUGUCGUCAGCUCGUGUCGUGAGAUGUUGGGUUAAGUCCCGCAACGAGCGCAACCCUUGUCAUUAGUUGCCAUCAUUAAGUUGGGCACUCUAAUGAGACUGCCGGUGACAAACCGGAGGAAGGUGGGGAUGACGUCAAGUCAUCAUGCCCCUUAUGACCUGGGCUACACACGUGCUACAAUGGACGGUACAACGAGAAGCGAACCUGCGAAGGCAAGCGGAUCUCUUAAAGCCGUUCUCAGUUCGGACUGUAGGCUGCAACUCGCCUACACGAAGCUGGAAUCGCUAGUAAUCGCGGAUCAGCACGCCGCGGUGAAUACGUUCCCGGGCCUUGUACACACCGCCCGUCACACCAUGAGAGUCUGUAACACCCAAAGCCGGUGGGAUAACCUUUAUAGGAGUCAGCCGUCUAAGGUAGGACAGAUGAUUAGGG